rnacentral:rRNA from 1 species
UACAGAGGGGGCAAGCGUUGUUCGGAAUUACUGGGCGUAAAGGGCGCGUAGGCGGCCUGUUAAGUCGGACGUGAAAUCCCUCGGCUCAACCGGGGAACUGCGUCCGAUACUGGCGGGCUUGAAUUCGGGAGAGGGAUGUGGAAUUCCAGGUUUAGCGGUGAAAUGCGUAGAUAUCUGGAGGAACACCGGUGGCGAAGGCGGCAUCCUGGACCGACAUUGACGCUGAGGCGCGAAAGCCAGGGGAGCAAACGGG